rnacentral:rRNA from 1 species
UACAGAGGGUGCGAACGUUGCUCGGAAUUACUGGGCGUAAAGCGCGUGUAGGCGGAGCCGCAAGUCAGAUGUGAAAGCCCCGGGCUCAACCCGGGAACUGCAUCUGAAACUGCGGUUCUGAGUACUGGAGAGGGUGGCGGAAUUCCUGGUGUAGAGGUGAAAUUCGUAGAUAUCAGGAGGAACACCGGUGGCGAAGGCGGCGACCUGGGUAGAUACUGACGCUGAGGUGCGAAAGCGUGGGGAGCAAACAGG